rnacentral:rRNA from 1 species
AUAUCAAUAAGCGGAGGAAAAGAAACCAACAGGGAUUGCCCUAGUAACGGCGAGUGAAGCGGCAACAGCUCAAAUUUGAAAUCUGGCCUCACGGUCCGAGUUGUAAUUUGCAGAGGAUGCUUUUGGCGCGGUGCCUUCCGAGUUCCCUGGAACGGGACGCCAUAGAGGGUGAGAGCCCCGUCUGGUCGGAUACCUAGCCUCUGUAAAGCUCCUUCGACGAGUCGAGUAGUUUGGGAAUGCUGCUCUAAAUGGGAGGUAUAUGUCUUCUAAAGCUAAAUACCGGCCAGAGACCGAUAGCGCACAAGUAGAGUGAUCGAAAGAUGAAAAGCACUUUGAAAAGAGGGUUAAACAGUAC